rnacentral:rRNA from 1 species
AGCUUUAAGUUUUAUUUGAGGUGACGCCUGCCCAGUGCUAAUUGUAAACGGCCGCAGUACCUUGACUGUGCUAAGGUAGCAUAAUCAGUUGGCUUUUAAAUGGAGUCGGGAAUGAAUGGACUUAUAGGGUGAAGCUGUCUCUUUUAUAUUAUAUUGAAUUUACUUAGUAGGUGAAAAUGCCUACUUUAAGAAAAAAGACGAGAAGACCCUAGGAGUUUUCACUAUAAUUUUAGUCUAAAUAAAUUGUUAGUUUUUGUUGGGGCGACAUAGGAGCAUUGCUAGAAACCUCCUUUUUCAAUUUGCCGACACAGUAUGUACAAGUAAACUACCCUAGGGAUAACAGCGUAAUUCUUUAAGAGCUUGCGACCUCGAUGUUGGACUAGGAAUUUGAUAGGCUAGCCGCCUAUUUUUAUUGUUCUGUUCGAACUAUAUUUCCUACAU